rnacentral:rRNA from 1 species
UACGUAGGGUGCAAGCGUUGUCCGGAAUUAUUGGGCGUAAAGAGCUCGUAGGCGGUCUGUCGCGUCUGCUGUGAAAACUCAGGGCUUAACCCUGAGCUUGCAGUGGGUACGGGCAGACUAGAGUGUGGUAGGGGAGACUGGAAUUCCUGGUGUAGCGGUGAAAUGCGCAGAUAUCAGGAGGAACACCGAUGGCGAAGGCAGCCCCCUGGGCUAGUACUGACGACUCAUGGCACGAA